ACAUAUAGUCACUUUAAAGGCCCAUCUAGGGACAGCAUUGCAUUGGCUUUGGCUAUAAAUGCUGUGGUGUGUGGCAUUAGUUUAUGCUACAUACUUAUACAUCCCCAUAUAAAUAAAGCGGUACAUACUGUAUGUUGGAGCCAUUACACCACUUUGUUUUGUUUAUAUAGGCUACCAUGUUGGUUAUGCUAAUUAAUCUGCAGUUUUAUGUUUGAGCACUGGGUGGAGCAUUGCCUUUGGGAAGGCAUAAAGGUAAUCAGCCGCAGGUACACAGGUUUGUGGAAAACGGGGAAAGCAGACAGCUUUUCACCGUGAAAAUGAAUGGAACUAAUCCAGAAAUGAAAUGAACUGUAAUGCUUGUGCGACGGUGAGCAGGCCGUUAAGGAAAAUAAAUGGGUCACAGCACCGAAAUGCAAA